UCGGGAUUUGGGGUCCGGUGACAAGCCGGAGGAAGGCGGGGAUGACGUCAAGUCAUCAUGGCCCUUACGGGUAGGGCUACACACGUGCUACAAGGGCUGGUACAGAGGGAAGCGAAGCGGUGACGUGGAGCGGAUCUUUAAAAGCCAGUCGUAGUCCGGAUUGAAGUCUGCAACUCGACUUCAUGAAGUCGGAAUCGCUAGUAAUCGCGAAUCAGCAUGUCGCGGUGAAUACGUUCCUGGGCCUUGUAC
rnacentral:rRNA from 1 species